UGUCCUUGUAUCCACCCCUGACAUGGUCUUGGUACACAUGGUAGAGAAAUGGGCUGGGCUACCGUUCCAAGCUGUUUGUUAUGAAAACAUAUUGAAAACAAUCAUAGGAGUAUUAUUUGGGAAUGGCGUGGGGAUAUUCUUCCUGAAGAGGUUCUGGAGGAAAGAGGAUUGUUUCACCUGUGACCACACAGGAAUGGAGCAGAGUUUGCUGGUGCGUGAUUGGUAUUGGUAAGAGUCUCUUUGUGGGUCCAUCACUCUAACUUCAUGUUGAAUAGCAUUUGCCAAAAUUGUAGAACAACAUCUGAAGAGUGGUAGGUAAUAUUUUCACUUGUCAAUUUUGCCCCUUUUUUUUUUUUUUUUUUUUUUUUUUUUCUUGUAUGUGUAUAGCAGUCAGGAAUAGUCAGGAAGAGGACUUGGAUAAGCUUAAGUUUCCCUGAACUGACACUGAAUGACAUGCUCUUCCUAGGAGCCAAAAUGUUUCUUAAAGUUGGAUAUAUCCAUGGUGCAAGUAAAGGUUGUGAAUGCAACAAGGAUGGUGAGUGACUGGAUUUGAAUUUGAAUAGCAGUUGGGUCAGCUUUGUUGUUGUGUGGGCGAUGGUUUGAUUUCAUUGUUGCUGUCAAGACCUGUAGUACGUACGCACCAUUUUAUCCCAGAUCCAACAUCUUACUUUGUAAUGAUAAUCCUCUGAUGACAAAAUUUGUCUCUCUAUUGGAUGAUAACGCCUAUCUCUAAUGGCUUAUGAAUUUUGAGUGAAACCUCUCUUGUAUAUAUCUAGAUGUAAUGUUGUGAUGGAGAGUUUCUUAAUAGCUGUAAUUCUGUUCACAGGGCUUUGUUCCCAGGGUGGCUGUGAUCCACGUUUCCCAUUUUCUGAACAGAGCGUAUGCAUUUGGAAACAAUACGGCUGUGUUGCAGAAACUCCUGACCUUCCUUGAGCAAGUCUCAACAAGCACAUGAGGACAGACUGUUUUGUUUGACAAAACUGAGACUGAAUCCGUCAUGGUUUGAGUUGUUAGAGUUAGGGUAGUCUGGUUACUUUGAGGUUGGGCUUGACAAUCUUGAAGGUCUUUUCUACCCCAAGCAAUUGUAUGAUUCUAUGGUGGGUUUUUUUGUUUGUUUGUUUGUUUGUUUGUUUUGUUGAUUUUUUUUAAAUAAUUUGAAAAAGUUCCCGUAUUAACUCUUUUUUAUUUAAAGUUUCAUAGUCUUUGGAGAUGAGCGGGAGAGUUGGAAUCUUUCUGAGAAGUGGUGAUUUUUUCCUAAAAUGAAAUCUUCCAUUGUGCAAUUUAUGGGAAGAAUUUAGGGCCCUACUUGCAGCUUAAGAACCGAUUGGAUUCCAGGUGUAGUGGAAUAGAAUUUCAGUUUCCAUAGAGAAGACCAUUAUUCCCUCUGGAGUUUGUCAGCCUCAUUUCUCUUUGAAUGUUUCCACGUGCUGCUGGACUGAUUGACAGCAUUUCCUGCCCUUAUGUCCAUGUACAUAUGUUGAAUUGGAAAAGGCAACAAAAAUAGUGUUGUAUUUAUUUUCAUUUUAGUAAUGUGUUAUGUCUUCGUGUGCCACUAGCUGGGUAUUUCACGAGAGCCAGAGCUGGUGAGGAGUGGCAGAGAUGUGCGGGUACCUCUUUGCUCUCUUCCUUUUUUAUGUCUCUGCUGCCGACGUAAGCCUUAAAGGAUAGGAAGGUCCAUUAGAAUUGUGGAAAUGAGGGAGUCGUUUCCGUACUUUGAAUGUGUAGAGCUGUCAAGGAUAAAACUUGGAUAUAUUUCUCUUUCAAAGCAAUGUCAGAGAAUCAAGUUCUCUCGCGAUUGUCUGGCAUAUCAGCAGGAAUGUGGAUUCUGUCCAUGGUGCUGAAAAGGUGAGAGAUUUCAGAGAGGUGCGUGAGAGCUUGGCUUAGAGUUUGGAAAAUCGUUGGGUUCAGAAGGCUCUGUCUGGCCUCUUGGAACCAACCCUUCUUGUCUGGAUUUCCUUUCACAUCUGGUGCAAAUACCUGCAACUGUUUCUGCUAUGAUCCUAGCUUCUUUGUCCUUGGAGGCAGUGUUGGUUCGCCAAGAAUCUUGCAUUUGGCAAAAGUUACAUAUGUAGAGCAGGCCUGAGAAGUGAAAGAGACUGAAUGCAGCUGUAGGUACUGACUUCUGUGAUGUUAAAGGAAAAGAAGAGCGGAAGAGUUGUGUGGGGAAAGAUGUUUCCUGAAAACCCUCAUCUAGCACCAUACCAGGUGCCAUAUAGUGCUGUAAGAUUUCACCUGCAUGUACACCUGAUUGCAUGUCCCUGAUGGGACAAGGUUUCCUUCGCACCAAGUGCCACGGUGUUUUCUUCCAGUGUAUGCGUAGGAAUCUCAUUAGAAAUUGAAGUGAACUGAAAGCAGGGCCGGGGUUUUCAACUGUUCCAGACUGCAAGCAUGCAAGCAUACUAGAGGGAUCUGGUGGGUGCCAAAUGUCCAAACAAAGAGUGGCAGAAACUAUUUCUCUGUCACUUUUGUGUGGAUGCUCUCUCGUACAUGUCUUGGUUUUCCAAAGGCUAGAGAUUAUUGUUCUUGCAACAUAGACAUAGAGUUCACAGGCAGUACAAGAGCAUCAAGCCUUCCCUUGAAUCAGGAAGAUUGAUGGGUCAGCAGUGUACUUGACUGUACCAUGUUUUGAUUACUCAUACUGUGUCAAAGUUAGUGCCUAUUUCACUGAGCCCCUUUCUUCCAGUGUUGUGACAAUCAUAACUGACAAUCUUUUCUGUACAAGCCUUCAACCAGCACCACUGGAUGUAAAUUCACCUCACACGGAAAUGCAGCUUGAAUUUUCAUUGACUUCCAAGUGCUCAUUUUCGGGCAAAGUUGUAUCAAUGGAACUACACACUGCAGUAGUGCUCCUCCCAUGGACCUGCUGUUUCUUUAUAAUUAGAAUCAGAAGUAUUUGAAAUGACUGAGCUACUGGUUUGCAAGGAGAAGUUCUGAAGGACACAGCCAUGCUCUUCUACCCAUUGUUGUAAUCAAGAAAUAGCAAAAGGUCAACAUUAUUACGUACACGGAUGACCUCUCAAAGCUCUGUGCCAUGCUAGUUAUACGGAGAAGUGGUACAGACUUGUCUGCAAUGCCUGUGGCCACUUCUUCUGGGUUGUUCUCAUUUCUUGGAAGACUGGAGGCACAGGGCCUGCCAUCUCAGAGGGCUCAGGGGAUCUCCUAGCUCUUCAUCUAACCCAAAAAGGAGGAACAGCAGGGACUGGGAGCUUGACUUCAUGAUACACUGGUAAAUGUGCAUGGGACAUUCCCUUCACAGUGUGUUACGGACACAUGGGAAGGGUUUAUUUCAGUCUGCUGGCAUGGAAAUUACAACAGAAACCGGGAGUGAAUCUAGCACUGAGUUGUGGAAAGACUAGAAGAAUAAUCGGAGUUCAUGGUGGAGAAGCUACUACUGGGGAAAAAAAAAUCGAAAAACAACAAAAAAAACCCACUCAGAACUACUUGGAGUUGGAAGUAAAAAUGAAAAGCUUAUGGAGAACAUAGCC
rnacentral:lncRNA from 1 species